rnacentral:rRNA from 1 species
UACGUAGGGUGCGGGCGUUAAUCGGAAUUACUGGGCGUAAAGUGUGCGCAGGCGGCAGAGCAAGUCGAGUGUGAAAGCCCCGGGCUUAACUUGGGAAUUGCGCUCGAAACUACUUUGCUGGAGUGUGGCAGAGGAAGGUGGAAUUCCACGUGUAGCGGUGAAAUGCGUAGAGAUGUGGAGGAACACCAAUGGCGAAGGCAGCCUUCUGGGCCAACACUGACGCUCAUGCACGAAAGCGUGGGGAGCAAACAGG